AGAAGUGGACUUAAUGGUAUUCCCUUAAAUUUAAAAUCUGAUGAAGCAGACAAUUCUAAAUUAAAUGAUGUUCCCUUAAAUUUGAAAUCUGAUGAAGUAGACAACACUAUUCAGGUGGACGAAAAAAAUAAGGCUACUUAUAGACGAAUGCCUGACAACGACGAUGAUGAAUAAUAAAAAAUAAUCAACGCAAAAACGUUUUCUUUAAGUUUAUUAAUUAAAAUACAUUUCUUUUUAAA